GCGGCGGUGGUGCAACGGUUAGCAUACGCUCCCGGAAAGAGUGAGAUCUGGGUUCAAAUCCCGCUGACGCA